AUUUCAGUCUGAGCAGGAGAGCCAGCAAAGGGGAGAAGGCCUUCUUAGUAACUGAUGUCUAGUAAUGGGAAUCUUGCCUAGAAACAAAUCUGUGGGACAGAGAGAGAACUCACAAGAAUGGUUGCAUAGCUAAGAGAUGUGGCAGGAGGGUCCACUGGCAACUUCUUCUUGGGAAAGUUCAUGGCCUCUCAGUAAGUACGACACCAGAUCCUGUCAUCCUCUUGGGGAUGAUCUCUGAGAACAUUCAAACUUCAUCUUGGGUGUUGUCAUCAACUUUGUGUCUUAAUGAGGUUUGUAGGUCCCAAGGCCACUGAGUCUCCUUCUAGAAGCCAGCAUCACUGAUGUAUCUUACCUGCAAAGGAAACAGCUGCUGCACAGGAUGAAUGCUCAUGGGGCAGGAUCUGCCCAAGACCCAAACCCAAAGACGUUUGAUGGAGGCUGCAGGUAGCCUCACUGGUGAUGUAAGCAGCAGUCCAGUCAUCCUUG